GACGAACGCUGGCGGCGUGCUUAACACAUGCAAGUCGAACGAUGAUGCCAGCUUGCUGGUGGAUUAGUGGCGAACGGGUGAGUAACACGUGAGCAACCUGCCCCUGACUUCGGGAUAACCGCGGGAAACCGUGGCUAAUACCGGAUAUGACGCGCUAUCGCAUGGUGGUGUGUGGAAAGAUUUAUCGGUUGGGGAUGGGCUGGCGGCCUAUCAGCUUGUUGGUGGGGUGAUGGCCUACCAAGGCGACGACGGGUAGCCGGCCUGAGAGGGUGACCGGCCACGCUGGGGAUGAGACACGGCCGAGACUGCUGGGGAAGGCAGCAGUGGGGAAUAUGGCACAAUGAGCGAAAGCCUGAUGGAGCGAAGCCGCGUGAGGGAUGACGGCCUUCGGGUUGUAAAACUCUUUCAGUAGGGAAGAAGGCCUUCGGUUUGACGGUACCUGAAGAAGAAGCGCCGGCUAACUACGUG
rnacentral:rRNA from 1 species